CCUACGGGAGGCAGCAGUGGGGAAUUUUGGACAAUGGGCGAAAGCCUGAUCCAGCAAUGCCGCGUGAGUGAAGAAGGCCUUCGGGUUGUAAAGCUCUUUUGUCAGGGAAGAAACGGUGAAAGCUAAUAUCUUUUGCUAAUGACGGUACCUGAAGAAUAAGCACCGGCUAACUACGUGCCAGCAGCCGCGGUAAUACGUAGGGUGCAAGCGUUAAUCGGAAUUACUGGGCGUAAAGCGUGCGCAGGCGGUUUUGUAAGUCUGAUGUGAAAUCCCCGGGCUCAACCUGGGAAUUGCAUUGGAGACUGCAAGGCUAGAAUCUGGCAGAGGGGGGUAGAAUUCCACGUGUAGCAGUGAAAUGCGUAGAUAUGUGGAGGAACACCGAUGGCGAAGGCAGCCCCCUGGGUCAAGAUUGACGCUCAUGCACGAAAGCGUGGGGAGCAAACAGGAUUAGAUACCCUGGUAGUCCACGCCCUAAACGAUGUCUACUAGUUGUCGGGUCUUAAUUGACUUGGUAACGCAGCUAACGCGUGAAGUAGACCGCCUGGGGAGUACGGUCGCAAGAUUAAAACCGUUAAAUGAAUUGACGG
rnacentral:rRNA from 1 species